GCUGGACCACCGCAGGGUCACCGCUGGCCACCGCGCGGUGGCCGGAGUUUUGAAAGGCAAGUGGGCGGUGCUGACAUGGGUGGUGAAGCAGGUGGAGCAGGUGACUGGCAUGGGACGAUGGGAUGUUGGCGGCGCUAGGGGUUGAUUAGGUGAUUUAGGGUUUCAGAUUUUAAAACCCUAAAUUUGGGCUAGUUGGGUCAGCCUGAGGUUUGGGUCUGUUUUAGGUUGGGCUUUAGUUUUUUUUUAUUUGUUUUAGGUAUUGGGCUAGGGUUGUAAUGGGUUUUGGGUAGGUAUAUUUGGUUUAAUUUAGGCCCGUAAAUUGGGCUUGUACAGACAUCUGGGAAUUCUGUAAAGUUGGGAGCUAUUUUGGGUCUUAGAUUAUUGGGUAUUUGUAGUAAUAGAAGUGAUACUUGAGAAUACCUCUGUGUAUAUAGUUGAGGUAAUGUCAUCAAUCUCUGAACUUUCUCUUGCUUUUCGAUGUUAAGUUUAAAAGCCAACUUGCAAGUAGGGAACCUAUAAAGAGCUCUGUCUCAAAAGAUAGGGAGUUGUGUGUCAUGUGUUGGAUAGAAAUUUUCUUUACAUCCGACCUUGAAGUUUCGAAUUCUAUUAUCUUAUGAUUCAAACUUUGUAUUUUGGAAGAA